rnacentral:RNase_P_RNA from 1 species
UUAGAUUGCUAGACGAUCGCCCCUCAUCUUGUAUUUCGAAUUAGUAGACUAGUUGGUUUACGACUACGAAUUACAAGAUGAGGGGAGGAAAGUCCGGGCAGCGUAGAACAUUGACAGUUGCUAACGGCAACCGCAGGUGACUGUAGGGAAAGUGCCACAGAGACAUAUACUACCAACAUCCUUAAGGGGAUGGCGGAAAAGGUGAAAAGAGUGGCUUAAGAGACCACAGCUGCGUAUGGUGACAUACGUAGGGGGUAAACCCUGUCAGCUGCAAGGCGAUUCAUAUUCGGCGCUCGUCGCCGGGACUGUUCGUCUUUAUAUGAAUCAUUAAGGCCGCUUGAACUCGCAAGUAAUUGCGAGUCUAGAUAGAUGAUCGUCCUCGCCAGAACCCGGCUUAUAGGCAGUCUAAUAUU